UACAGAGGGUGCAAGCGUUAAUCGGAAUUACUGGGCGUAAAGCGCGCGUAGGUGGUUUGUUAAGUUGGAUGUGAAAUCCCCGGGCUCAACCUGGGAACUGCAUUCAAAACUGACAAGCUAGAGUAUGGUAGAGGGUGGUGGAAUUUCCUGUGUAGCGGUGAAAUGCGUAGAUAUAGGAAGGAACACCAGUGGCGAAGGCGACCACCUGGACUGAUACUGACACUGAGGUGCGAAAGCGUGGGGAGCAAACAGGA
rnacentral:rRNA from 1 species